rnacentral:lncRNA from 1 species
UAACAAACAUUAUAAAUUAUUUGACAACCUGAAGGCAAAAAACGAGAAUAUGAGAAACCCUGAGAAUACGAGAAACAGGGAUACACUGUGAUUUAAUAUAUUUUAUGAUAAAUGCUUUUUCUUACCAAGCUGCCUCUAGGUAAACAAUCCUUUCCAUCAACACCAGAGACUCUGUAUAUUCUGCAGCCGUAGUUGGUUAUACACACUACACAAAAACCUCGCGUUUUGAAUUGGAUGCUUUCAUUAUUUGUACACGGGGUGGCGGGUGAUCAGUCGCUACAUUCUUAAAUAUUGUAGUAUCUACCGACUAUUAAAAUGAAUGGAUUAAUAAAACUUUUUAACAUUUGUAUAAAGCUUACGAAAUGUUUGUUAUUAUAAACGCCUACAACCGCUGAUUAGAACUUAAAUAAGAAAUGAUGCAUUAACCAAGCUGACACCCCUAAUCUUAGCGUGUUAUGAAAUGGACGCGUCGAUUCAAUUACACAUGGCUGGUUCACGACUUCUGAGACUUGCGUUUAUGAUUCGAAGAGUGAAAACGGAUACCAGUCAACUACAUACACACGCGUUUGUUUAUUCCUUUGUGUGUUGGAAAUUAUUGUUGGUCCUUCUGUCACUGUCCGUAAUUUAGCGAUUUGCCAAGCAAGCAGCAGAUGGAGUAGAGCAGACCUCUUUUCUCGACUGCAGUGGCUUGGCAUUGGAUGCCCUAAUAAGAAGAUUGACUUGACUUUUUAAUGCGAUUCCGUGUAUCACACAACUUACAAGACAAUAUGUUUCAUUUAAUCUAUGAUCAUAUUUAGGAUACAUGUUAAUGACCAUUGUAAGAUUGUGUGUAACAUACAAGACUUGGGCCACUUGCAUCAAGGUCAAGUUCAGAUAUAGAAUUCAGCUGCAUACAGUCUACCACAUAGCUAAUAAACCCUAUGAAAGGAGCUGUCGGUAUUUCCAUGGUGCAGCUAUCACCAGUUUCAAAAUGGAAACAGAUGGUGAGUCUCAAGCGAAAAAGAAAAGUGGACCUCUCCUAACAACUUAAAAGGAGAACAUUAUCUUGCAUAGCAUUUUUCUCCGAAGGGAUUGAUUCAAACAAGCACAUUGUGACAAGUAUCCCACUGAAGGCAAGUUCUACAACAAGGAGACGGACUCCACUGGUGGUCAAUAUAUCGACGUUCAAAAAGGGCUUAAAUUUGUUUACCGAUCAAAACUAUGCCAUAAGACAUGAAUCACCCUCCAAUUAAAACAAAACAUAUGGAGAAUGUGGAGUCACUUUCAAAUCAAGUAACAAUUUAAGAUAUGAGACGAUUCUAAUGACGACAAUGAAUAUGGAGAAGUAUAAUGUACUUGAAAAUGUUUAAUGGAAAUAGAGGAAUGUGAAACUUCUUUGUAUUUAUUUGGUUCUCAUGAAGGCUUUGUCAUUGAUAAGGCUGGCAGAUAAGUUGAUUUAUUUCUUUGUUUUCAACAAAAAGAAAAGUUGAAAAGUCUAAAUUUAAGCAUUUUAGGAGUACUAAAAGAUGUUAUAGAAAUAUUUGAGAUAGAAUGUAAAAACUGGCCCUUCUUAGGGUCUGCUAAUUUAGGGCUAAAAUAAAAUAAAAACAUAUAA